UACGGGGGGAGCAAGCGUUGUUCGGAUUUACUGGGCGUAAAGGGCGCGUAGGCGGCGCGACAAGUCACUUGUGAAAUCUCUGAGCUUAACUCAGAACGGCCAAGUGAUACUGCAGUGCUAGAGUGCAGAAGGGGCAAUCGGAAUUCUUGGUGUAGCGGUGAAAUGCGUAGAUAUCAAGAGGAACACCUGAGGUGAAGACGGGUUGCUAGGCUGACACUGACGCUGAGGCGCGAAAGCCAGGGGAGCAAACGGG
rnacentral:rRNA from 1 species